GUGGAUGUGUGUUUGGAGGUGGAGGUGUGUGUUUGGAUGUGUGUGUGUCCAGGGAGGGAGGGGACCCAGUAGGACCCCCUGAAACACGCACUGAGUGCUGGAAAACACCCCUAUGGUUAGAGUGUGUGUGGAGGUGUGUGUGUGGAGGUGUGUGUGUGGAGGUGUGUGUGUGGAGGUGUGUGUGUGUGUGUGUGUGUGUGUGGAGGUGUGUGUGUGUGGAGGUGUGUGUGUGUGUGUGGAGGUGUGUGUGUGUGUGUAGGUGUGUGUGUGUGUGUGUGUGUGUGUGUGUGUGUGUGUGGAGGUGUGUGUGUGGAGGUGUGUGUGUGUGUGUGGAUGUGUGUGUGGAGGUGUGUGUGUGUGGAGGUGUGUGUGUGUGGAGGUGUGUGUGUGUGUGUGGAGGUGUGUGUGGAGGUGUGUGUGUGUGUGUGUGUGUGUGUGUGUGUGUGUGGAGGUGUGUGUGUGGAGUUGUGUGUGGAGGUGUGUGAGUGUGUGUGUGUGUGUGUGUGUGUGUGGAGGUGUGUGUGUGUGGAGGUGUGCGUGUGUGGAGGUGUGUGUGUGUGUGUGUGUGUGUGUGUGUGUGUGUGGAGGUGUGUGUGUGUGUGGAGGUGUGUGUAUGUUUGGAGGUGGAGGUCUGUGGGUGCGCGUAUCUCCCUGAUCGUGGCCCAGCUGUGGGAGAGGAGAUAUUUUAUAAACUAAUCCUCUUAUCAGGAUCUUGUGCUGCUCUCUGCACACACCGUUUCCCUGAGAAAGUCAGGGAUGGAGGGGACCCAGUAGGACGCCCUGACACACACAC
ensembl:lncRNA